CACAACUUAAAGGAAAGCCAUUUAAAAAAUUUUUAGAAAGAACGCUGCGCGGACAAAUACGAGAGUGGGACGGCAAUGUAAAGAUGAUUAGACAUGUAUAUUUGGGAGUCAGAAGGCCAGGCUCAAGCAUUUCUACCUCCUGUGUCUUUCGGAUCGUGGCCUUGCGUUUGCUCGGUGACAUUUUGAACAGCCUUCUUCUUUCAGUUUCUGACUGACUCGAACUAUACCUAGACACCGUAAAGGCACGCGUCAUUUUUGGCGCUACUUGGUAAUUCGCAGUGCUGGCCAUUAUUGCCUCAUCCAUUUUGUUUCAAAGUAUAUUUGUAUCACUCCAAUUAUAGGGCAAAUUGUAGUUCAAAUAUACACCAAAUUAUUUAAAUGUUUUAAUUCUUGAAGAACUUAGUAAAAUUGCGGAAACAAUAAAGAUGAUAAUGAUUAA
rnacentral:sRNA from 1 species